rnacentral:rRNA from 1 species
GAUGAACGCUAGCGGGAGGCUUAACGCAUGCAAGUCGAAGGGCAGCAUUAUCGCUUGCGAUAGAUGGCGACUGGCGAACGGGUGCGUAACGCGUAUGCAACCUACCCUCAACUGGAGAAUAGCCCAGAGAAAUUUGGAUUAAUACUCCAUAGUAUUACAGAUUCGCAUGUUUUUGUAAUUAAAGUUUUAAUGGUUGAGGAUGGGCAUGCGUGACAUUAGUUUGUUGGUGAGGUAAUGGCUCACCAAGACUACGAUGUCUAGGGGUUCUGAGAGGAUGAUCCCCCACACUGGUACUGAGACACGGACCAGACUCCUACGGGAGGCAGCAGUGAGGAAUAUUGGACAAUGGAGGCAACUCUGAUCCAGCCAUCCCGCGUGCAGGAAGACAGCCCUAUGGGUCGUAAACUGCUUUUAUACAGGAAUAAACCCCUCUACGUGUAGAGGGCUGAAGGUACUGUAAGAAUAAGGACCGGCUAACUCCGUGCCAG